UACAGAGGGUGCAAGCGUUAAUCGGAAUUACUGGGCGUAAAGGGUGCGUAGGCGGUUGAAUAAGUUAGGUGUGAAAGUCCUGGGCUUAACCUGGGGAUUGCGCCUAAUACUGUUUAGCUAGAGUACUGUAGAGGAAGGUGGAAUUUCCAGUGUAGCGGUGAAAUGCGUAGAUAUUGGAAGGAACAUCAGUGGCGAAGGCGACUUUCUGGACAGAUACUGACACUGAGGCACGAAAGCGUGGGGAGCAAACAGG
rnacentral:rRNA from 1 species